CAAUUGGAGAGUUUGAUCCUGGCUCAGAUUGAACGCUGGCGGCAUGCCUAACACAUGCAAGUCGAACGCGAAAGGGGGCAACCCCGAGUAGAGUGGCGGACGGGUGAGUAACGCGUAGGAAUCUGCCCAGUAGUGGGGGAUAACCCGGCGAAAGCCGGGCUAAUACCGCAUAUG
rnacentral:rRNA from 1 species